rnacentral:rRNA from 1 species
UACGUAGGUGGCAAGCGUUUGUCCGGAAUUAUUGGGCGUAAAGCGCGCGCAGGCGGUCUUUUAAGUCUGAUGUGAAAGCCCACGGCUCAACCGUGGAGGGUCAUUGGAAACUGGGAGACUUGAGUGCAGAAGAGAAGAGCGGAAUUCCACGUGUAGCGGUGAAAUGCGUAGAGAUGUGGAGGAACACCAGUGGCGAAGGCGGCUCUUUGGUCUGUAACUGACGCUGAGGCGCGAAAGCGUGGGGAGCGAACAGG